rnacentral:rRNA from 1 species
AGAACGAACGCUGGCGGCAUGCCUAACACAUGCAAGUCGAACGCUUGCCCGGUUUCGGCCGGGCGGGAGUGGCGCACGGGUGAGUAGCGCGUGGGAACCUGCCCUGUUGUGGGGGAUAACCGAGGGAAACUUCGGCUAAUACCGCAUGCGCCCGGGGAAACCCGGGAAAGAUUUAUCGCAGCAGGAGGGGCCCGCGUCGGAUUAGGUAGUUGGUAGGGUAACGGCCUACCAAGCCUGUGAUCCGUAGCUGGUCUGAGAGGAUGAUCAGCCACACUGGGACUGAGACACGGCCCAGACUCCUACGGGAGGCAGCAGUGGGGAAUAUUGGACAAUGGGCGCAAGCCUGAUCCAGCAAUGCCGCGUGAGUGAUGAAGGCCUUCGGUUGUAAAGCUCUUUCGCACGCGACGAUGAUGACGGUAGCGUGAGAAGAAGCCCGGCUAACUUCGUGCCAGCAGCCGC